ACAAAUCAUAGCUUUUUAACCCCGAGUGCAUGCGCACGUUGAAGAUUAAAAACAACAACACUCUAAUUUUUUCCUGAAU
rfam:Botryotinia fuckeliana T4 unplaced genomic scaffold BcT4_SuperContig_X2_V3_B__V4, whole genome shotgun sequence.